rnacentral:tRNA from 1 species
GGGACCGUGGGGUAGUUUGGUCAUCCUUCCAGCUCGGGGAGCUGGUAACUCGAGUUCAAAUCUCGACGGUCCCA